AACUCAACUUGGACAUAUGGAGAUGGUGAAGAUGAUGAGAAGAAGAUGAGAUGAUGUUGGUGAAGAUGAUGACCAUUCAUGGUGGUUUCUUCUUUUUUCCUCCCAAGCUCUUCUCUCCCUCUUUCUUUCUUUCGUUCUCUUCUCCUCUUUUUUUCUCUUCUUUACUCUUCUUUUCCCUUUUCUUUCUGAUAUCUCUCUUUCUCUUCCUACCUACUCUUCCUUUUUAUCUUCAUUCUUAUCCACU
rnacentral:lncRNA from 1 species